GGUAUAGCUCAGAGGUAGAGCAAGUGCUUAUUAGCAUGCAUGAGCCCUGGGUUCAAUCCCCAUUUGCCA
rnacentral:tRNA from 1 species